AUGCUUAGACCAACAAACUUGCUAGGAUAUUGCCGAUGUUCUGCAGUGUCAGGUCGUAGCCCUCCCUUGCACAUAUCUGGGACUACCCCUUUCUCUCAACAAAAUAACACAUGGUCUGUUGAACACAAAGUUGACAAGCAUUUGUCUUGUUGGCUUGCCACUUUCCUAUCUCGGGGGGGUCGCCUCACCUUGAUUAAUGCGGUUUUGGCAGCGAUCCCUAGUUAUUUCAUGGGUUGUUUUCUAUGGCCAAAACAGUCGCUGGAGAAGGUUGAACAAGUUUUGAGGGGUUUCUUAUGGCAAGGGAAGAACCAGGCCAAGGGGGGACAAUGCCUUGUCGCAUGGGAAGUGGUCACGCUACCGAAGGAGAAUGGAGGUUUGGGAGUACGAGAUCUUGCAGCACACAACAGGGCUCUGGUAUGCAAGUUCAUGGCAAAGGUUUUACAGCAGGAGGAAGCCCCAUGUUACAAUUGGUUUGCACGCACAUACUGCGAGAAGGAAAUUUCUUGGUCUCCUCACAGCCGGGAUACCGCUGUCUGGAGAGGCUUCAGGUCCACCGUACAGUUGGUUAUGGAGGCUACCAAAUGCAAGUUAGGGAAUGGACAGGGAAUUGCCUUCUGGCAUGACCUGUGGCUCGACUGCGGUAGGCUCAUGACAUCCUUCCCGACACUUUUUACCUUCUCUACGCCCAAGUUCUGCACAGUCGCCUACCAGUUCAGAGAUGGGCAAUGGAACAUUCAGCUACACCCAAACCUCUCUUCCAAGGCAGCACAGGAGCUGGAAGUCCUAAAUGACAUCUUGAGUAACGUGCAGCCUCAAGAAGGUCCGCCAGACACCAGAAUGCCUCUUUUGGAAGAUAAGAGUAUUAGUACUGCAUACUUCUACAAGCUAUUCACCUUUAGAGGAAAGAACUAUACGCCAGCUCGCUACAUCUAG
rnacentral:rRNA from 1 species